AAAUUAAUAUAAUUUGGACAAAUUUGACGGGCUGGAUUAAAAAGCCAAAUGGGCCACAUCUGGCCCCCGGGCCAUAGUUUGUCUGCUUAAGACCAAUAUCUACUAGUAGCUGGUAAGAAAUAACUGGGCAUCAUGUUUGUUUAAAGCUGUGGUGAUUUUAAUUCAAAAUGUAUAUUUUUAAACUACGUGUAUAAAUAUAACUCAGAGUUCAAUACAAAGCAGAUGUGUCCCCCCUCUGAUGGUCUGUCCACAGAGUCUUAGUUCUAGUUUCAGUCUCUCCUGCAUUGGCUUAACUCUUUGAGACUUAGAGACUGCUAUUUAUAUCCUCCACUGCUAUAAUUUUAAACCCUCCCAAACAUAAUAAUCAGGACGUUGCGGAAUAAGCCUUAAAUUACACACCCAACACAACAGCCCUAUGGUGACGGUGGUGAAACGGUGGCUCAGUUUGUUUCCACGGCGUGUCUUCACAUUUACACGGAUAGUUCAUCUGCACAUGGCAAAAAGUACAACUUUAGAUGACAUUAUUUUUGCAAUUUUAUUCAGGGUGGACUGACUUCCUGUAGACUGACUUCCUGUAAAACACAGCUGUGAUUUGGAUCGUUUGGCUUUCAGUGGAUGUACUCCUCAUUUCCUUCCUUUUUUUUUUUUUUUAUCUUACUUUCCCUCUCCCUCACCCCUUGCUGUAUAGGUGAGAGUUGACACACUCAGCAUGGCACAUGUAAAGUAUGAGGUCACUGGGAUCAGACGUAUUGCUGACUGUCGUGGCACCAGAGAAUGAUGGGAAAAUGCAGAGGAGGACAGUUGACAAAACAAAGUGGGAGAUAAGUCGCAGAAUUUCCUGAAAAUUUCCCUCACCGCUCAUUCUCCAGCUCCAAUUCAAAUCACCCGCGUCACAAAGACACUUUGACCUCGUGCACAACAGCACUGUCAGGACCUUUGACCUCUGCUGACGACUGCUUCUGAACGUUAAUCUGAUCUGAGUGUGAGCUGUAGAUCUAAUCCUUUUUGUUUCUUUUUUGCGCAUUUUAGACAUUGUGUACUUUACAUGCUGCACAAAUGAUGAC